AGAGAGAGACAUGCGCGCAUAUCAAUAAGCGGAGGAAAAGAAACUAACUAGGAUUCCCUCAGUAACGGCGAGUGAAGCGGGAAGAGCUCAAAUUUGAAAUCUUCAAGGUUCUACCUUGACGAAUUGUAGUUUAAAGAAGUGUUUUCUGUUGGAGUUUUGGUAAAAGUUCUUUGGAAUAGGACAUCAUAGAGGGUGAGAAUCCCGUAUUUGACCAUUAUUUUCAGCUUUGUGAUACACUUUCAAAGAGUCGGAUUGUUUGGGAAUGCAGUCCAAAAUGGGUGGUAAAUUUCAUCUAAAGCUAAAUAUUGGCGAGAGACCGAUAGCGAACAAGUACCGUGAGGGAAAGAUGAAAAGAACUUUGAAAAGAGAGUUAAACAGUACGUGAAAUUGUCAAAAGGGAAGCGUUUGACACCAGUGUUGUUUUCUCGAAAAUCAAUUAAAGAUGGCUCGAUUUUGUAUUGCUUGAGACCUUAAAAGCUCACUGUACAUUUUUCGUGUCUUUUUUAAUGCACUUUUCGUUUAACAAGUCAACAUCAGUUUCUUUUGUUGUAAAAGGGUCAUUGGAAGGUGGCUUUCUUUUCGGAGAAAGUGUUUAUAGCCUUUGGCCUCUGCAAUCGGAGAGACUGAGGUCUGCAGCGUAGACUCUUCGGGGUUAGAUACAUUUGUGCUAAGUUAUAGCUUUUUAUAGACAACUUGUUGACUAUAAUUAGUCUUGUAGCUUACUCGCUUAUGCUAUUUUACCUACGCUUAGGAUGUUGAGUCGUAGAGCACGCAG
rnacentral:rRNA from 1 species